AUUGAACGCUGGCGGCAGGCCUAACACAUGCAAGUCGAGCGAGCGGCGGACGGGUGAGUAAUGUCUGGGUACCCGCUUGAUGGAGGGGGAUAACUACUGGAAACGGUAGUUACUACCGCACACGAUGAGGUCGGCCCAGAUGGGAUUAGCUGGUGGGUGGGGUAACGGCUCACCAAGGCGACGAUCCCUAGCUGGUCUGAGCGGAUGACCAGCCACACUGGGACUGAGACACGGUCCAGACUCCUACGGGAGGCAGCAGUGGGGAAUAUUGCACAAUGGGCGAAAGCCUGAUGCAGCCAUGCCGCGUGUGUGAAGAAGGCCUUCGGGUUGUAAAGCACUUUCAGCGGGGAGGCGGUACCCGCAGAAGAAGCACCGGCUAACUCCGUGCCAGCAGCCGCGGUAAUAC
rnacentral:rRNA from 1 species